AUCAACCCGUCCUACAGAGACUUUACAGGGCCUGGUCCUGCGUAUGUCUGUGGCAUGAUUCUCCUGUGACCAGACCAUCACUCUGUAUUCCAGAUCACUCCAGCCUCGUAUUUACCAAACACCACCCAUGUGUCAGGCAUUGCACCAAAGGCCAGUAACAGAGGAGUAGCAGACACGGCUGGUGCCCUGCUCGUGACUUCUGGCAUCCAUUGCUGCAGUCCUUCUGAUGCUGUCCUACGAAGCUCCAUAACUCUCUGCCCCAGGGUUUUCUACCCGGCGCCCAGAGCAGAAGGUUAGUUGAUGCCAUGGACCUGCCAGCCGUGGACCUGCCUUAGAGAAUUUGGUCUGCUGGUACGAGCUGGACGCCGCAGAGCAGUGAGGGGGUAGUGGGCAGAGCUCUUGCGCUCAUGUUUACCACUGCGUGCCUGAUGUGCAGCACUUUGGCAGGGAGACCAGGUGAAAGAAAGAAGGUGACAUCUACUACCAACCCAGUGCUGGAAAUUUCUUGUUCUCCGCUUUAUCAAAUACAUGAUAAUGAAACACCAUAAUCUCAGGAUCAAGGAAAGGCUACCUUGACUGAACAAAAGGAAGACAACUAGAGGUUUGCAAUUCACAUUCUGAAUCACCACUCCCAGAAAGAAUGUAUUCUCUGUCUCUGACAUUCCCAGACCCAUUUUGUGCCCACCUCUGUCAUUUCUUUGUGCUCGCCUCUUUCUGGGUUGUAUGUAGGUUUUUGCCUUUCCUGUUGGUAUUUGUGAUCAAAUAACUUGGGAUAUUUAUGCUUAAACAGCAAGAUAUUCCCAAGAACAACUGUGGUUCGAUAUUUUCCAUAGAACUAAUA